AUUGAACGCUGGCGGAAUGCUUUACACAUGCAAGUCGAACGGCAGCACGGGGGCAACCCUGGUGGCGAGUGGCGAACGGGUGAGUAAUACAUCGGAACGUGCCCAGUCGUGGGGGAUAACGUAGCGAAAGCUACGCUAAUACCGCAUACGAACUCUGGUUGAAAGCGGGGGAUCGCAAGACCUCGCGCGAUUGGAGCGGCCGAUGGCAGAUUAGGUAGUUGGUGGGGUAAAGGCUCACCAAGCCGACGAUCUGUAGCUGGUCUGAGAGGACGACCAGCCACACUGGGACUGAGACACGGCCCAGACUCCUACGGGAGGCAGCAGUGGGGAAUUUUGGACAAUGGGCGCAAGCCUGAUCCAGCCAUUCCGCGUGCAGGAUGAAGGCCCUCGGGUUGUAAACUGCUUUUGUACGGAACGAAAAGGCCUGAGUUAAUACCUCGGGCUCAUGACGGUACCGUAAGAAUAAGCAC
rnacentral:rRNA from 1 species